rnacentral:tRNA from 1 species
CAAAAUAUAGCUUAAUCUAAAGCAUUCAGUUUACACCUGAAAUAUACCCACAUAGACCAGGGUUAUUUUGA